AUUAAUGAUGAGAAGUCAAAGCUAUUGAUACAAGAAAAAACAAAUAGAUCAAGAAAACCCAACUUCUUCCCCUGGUUAGUAUCCCCUUCAGUGUGCUUAUUUACAUUCCGUUGGCUACUCAAAAUGGUGUGGAUGUUUUCAGCUAUCAGUCACGCUUGAAGAAGAUGGUUUGUUUUUGUAUGUUGACUUGCUUGCUUGACGGUGUGGCUGUUUUGAUUUUUUCAACUAUCCUGAUUAUGUGAUUAUCUUUUUUAAUUUUUUUUCCAACCCAAUAAUGUGGCUGCUUUUUAUUAUUAUUAAACUAGCCUUUCAAUGUGCUUGGUUUCUUUUUCAAAAUUUGGCCAAUUAGCAUGACUGUCUGGCUUCUUUUAACUAUUUGACUAGCCAGAUGGUGUGGUUGUGCUAUUUGUUCUAUCAGCUGGACAAAUCUUUCUGCUUUUAUUUGUUCAGUCAACUCGACUGAUGCGUUUUUUUUCCUUUCGGCAAGACAUUUUGACUGUUUUAACACUGAUUUGUGUAUGGUGUUUAAUAUUAUGGUCAACCCUUUGACAAUUGUAUCUUCUCUGUCCGUUUGACUUUGAUAUGCAUCAAGGUGGUUCAUUGAUAAUUUUCCGAGACCCAUUGUGGUGCAAAAGGUGUUCCUCAUGUUCAGCAUCAUUUAUCUGUUUUAGUUUACUUUCUGUGCCAACAGACAUCAAAAUAAUUAUCAGAAGGGACAUCAAGUAGCCUUUUGUCAGUGCCCAACAGUAAUAUGCUCUCUCUCUCUCUCUCUCUCUCUCUCUCUCUNNNNNNNNNNNNNNNNNNNNCGUCUCUCUCUCUCUCUCUCUCUCUCUCUCUCUCUCUCUCUCACACACACACACACACACACACACACACACACACAUACACACACACACACUUUCUACCUCUCUCCUUCACUCUAACUCUCUCUCUCUCUUUUUCUUUUUAUGCAGCCAGACCAAGAUGCCUCCAAGUUCCUGAGGUAAAAACAUCUUAUUUAUUAACGAAUUAAAAUAUAAUUUAAUCAACACAAGUUAAUUAUGUGAUAUUGAGAUGAAAAUAAGAUUGAAAGGAAGAUUGAAUUAGUAUAAGGUUGUCUUAAUUGAUAAAAAAUAAUCAAGUAUUAUUUAAUGUUGAUGGAG
rnacentral:lncRNA from 1 species